AGAGUUUGAUCCUGGCUCAGAACGAACGCUGGCGGCAGGCUUAACACAUGCAAGUCGAACGCACCUUUCGGGGUGAGUGGCAGACGGGUGAGUAACGCGUGGGAACGUGCCCUUCAGUUCGGAAUAACCCAGGGAAACUUGGGCUAAUACCGGAUACGUGCGAGAGCAGAAAGAUUUAUCGCUGAAGGAUCGGCCCGCGUCUGAUUAGCUAGUUGGUGAGGUAAUGGCUCACCAAGGCGACGAUCAGUAGCUGGUCUGAGAGGAUGAUCAGCCACAUUGGGACUGAGACACGGCCCAAACUCCUACGGGAGGCAGCAGUGGGGAAUAUUGGACAAUGGGCGCAAGCCUGAUCCAGCCAUGCCGCGUGAGUGAUGAAGGCCUUAGGGUUGUAAAGCUCUUUCGUCCGGGACGAUAAUGACGGUACCGGAAGAAGAAGCCCCGGCUAACUUCGUGCCAGCAGCCGCGGUAAUACGAAGGGGGCUAGCGUUGUUCGGAAUCACUGGGCGUAAAGGGCGCGUAGGCGGCUUUAUAAGUCGGGGGUGAAAGCCUGUGGCUCAACCACAGAAUUGCCUUCGAUACUGUAGAGCUUGAGACCGGAAGAGGUAAGUGGAACUGCGAGUGUAGAGGUGAAAUUCGUAGAUAUUCGCAAGAACACCAGUGGCGAAGGCGGCUUACUGGUCCGGUUCUGNNGCUGAGGCGCGAAAGCGUGGGGAGCAAACAGGAUUAGAUCCCUAGUAGUCC
rnacentral:rRNA from 1 species